AAUGAACGCUGGCGGCGUGCUUAACACAUGCAAGUCGUACGAGAAAUCCGCCUUCGGGUGGAGAGUAAAGUGGCGCACGGGUGAGUAACGCGUGGGUAAUCUACCCUCGAAUUGGGGAUAACAUACCGAAAGGUGUGCUAAUACCGAAUAAGACCACGAUCACUCCGGUGAUCGGGGUCAAAGAUGGCCUCUGCUUGCAAGCUGUCGUUUGAGGAUGAGCCCGCGUACCAUUAGCUUGUUGGUGGGGUAAUGGCCUACCAAGGCAACGAUGGUUAGCUGGUCUGAGAGGAUGGGCAGCCAAACUGGAACUGGAACACGGUCCAGACUCCUACGGGAGGCAGCAGUGAGGAAUUUUGCGCAAUGGGGGAAACCCUGACGCAGCAACGCCGCGUGAGUGAAGAAGGCCUUCGGGUUGUAAGGCUCUGUCAAGUGGGAAGAAUCUUUCUCGAUCGAAUAAGUCGAGAGACUGACGGUACCGCUGAAGGAAGCACCGGCUAACCCCGUGCCAGCCGCCGCAGUAA
rnacentral:rRNA from 1 species